rnacentral:rRNA from 1 species
AUUGAACGCUGGCGGCAUGCUUUACACAUGCAAGUCGGACGGCAGCGGGGUAGUGCUUCCACUACUGCCGGCGAGUGGCGAACGGGUGAGUAAUAUAUUGGAACGUACCGAGUAAUGGGGGAUAACCAAUCGAAAGAUUGGCUAAUACCGCAUACGCUCUGAGGAGGAAAGCAGGGGACCUUCGGGCCUUGCGUUAUUCGAGCGGCCAAUAUCUGAUUAGCUAGUUGGUGGGGUAAGGGCCUACCAAGGCGACGAUCAGUAGCGGGUCUGAGAGGAUGAUCCGCCACACUGGGACUGAGACACGGCCCAGACUCCUACGGGAGGCAGCAGUGGGGAAUUUUGGACAAUGGGCGCAAGCCUGAUCCAGCCAUGCCGCGUGUCUGAAGAAGGCCUUCGGGUUGUAAAGGACUUUUGUUAGGGAAGAAAAAGGAGCGGUUAAUACCCGUUUCUGCUGACGGUACCUAAAGAAUAAGCACCGGCUAACUACGUG